GGAUUAAGCCAUGCAUGUGUAAGUCUAAAUAGUUUUAGUGUGAAACUGCGAAUGGCUCAUUAUAUCAGUUAUAGUUUAUUUGGAUGAAUUUUUCUAUGGAUAACCGUAGUAAUUCUAGGGCUAAUACAUGUUAUAAUCUCUUUGAGAUUUUCUUAUUAGAAUAAAACCAAUUGUAUUAGUGAGUAAUAAUAAUAGAAUCGAUCGCAUGCUUUUGUAGCGA
rnacentral:rRNA from 1 species